rnacentral:rRNA from 1 species
UACGUAGGGGGCAAGCGUUGUCCGGAAUCAUUGGGCGUAAAGCGCGUGUAGGCGGUCCGGUAAGUCGGUUGGUGAAAGUCCAGGGCUCAACCCUGGGAUGCCGAUCGAUACUGCCGGACUAGAGUCCGGAAGAGGCGAGUGGAAUUCCCGGGUGUAGCGGUGAAAUGCGCAGAUAUCGGGAGGAACACCAAUGGCGAAGGCAGCUCGCUGGGACGGUACUGACGCUGGAGACGGCGGAAAGCGUGGGGAGCAAACAGGGAUUAAGAUACCCCGGUAC